rnacentral:tRNA from 1 species
UUCCCCUGUAGUUCAGUGGUAGAACGCCGGACUGUUAAUCCGUAUGUCACUGGUUCGAAUCCAGUCGGGGGAGA